rnacentral:rRNA from 1 species
UACACUCCUGCGGGAGGCAGCAGUGGGGAAUUUUGGACAAUGGGCGAAAGCCUGAUCCAGCAAUGCCGCGUGUGUGAAGAAGGCCUUCGGGUUGUAAAGCACUUUUGUCCGGAAAGAAAUCCUUGGCUCUAAUACAGUCGGGGGAUGACGGUACCGGAAGAAUAAGCACCGGCUAACUACGUGCCAGCAGCCGCGGUAAUACGUAGGGUGCGAGCGUUAAUCGGAAUUACUGGGCGUAAAGCGUGCGCAGGCGGUUUGCUAAGACCGAUGUGAAAUCCCCGGGCUCAACCUGGGAACUGCAUUGGUGACUGGCAGGCUAGAGUAUGGCAGAGGGGGGUAGAAUUCCACGUGUAGCAGUGAAAUGCGUAGAGAUGUGGAGGAAUACCGAUGGCGAAGGCAGCCCCCUGGGCCAAUACUGACGCUCAUGCACGAAAGCGUGGGGAGCAAACAGGAUUAGAUACCCGUGUAGUCC